CCCAUUUGAUUGAAAACUGAAGUAUACUGUGGGGACGAAAGUCCUCGCUUUGAAACUAGAUAACAACUUUCAGCAGUGGAUGUCUAGGCUCGCACAUCGAUGAAGAACGCUGCGAACUGCGAUACGUAAUGCGAAUUGCAGGAUUCAGUGAGUCAUCGA
rnacentral:rRNA from 1 species